GACGAACGCUGGCGGCGUGCUUAACACAUGCAAGUCGAACGAAGUGGCGAACGGGUGAGUAACGCGUAAUCAACCUGCCCUUCAGAGGGGGACAACAGUUGGAAACGACUGCUAAUACAGCAUACUGAAGGAGGGGAUUGCGUCGGAUUAGUUAGGUGGAGGGGUAACGGCCCACCAAGGCGAUGAUCAGUAGCCGGUCUGAGAGGGUGAACGGCCACAUUGGGACUGGGGCACGGCCCAGACUCCUACGGGAGGCAGCAGGGGGGAAUCUUCCGCAAUGGACGAAAGUCUGACGGAGCAACGCCGCGUGAGUGGUGACGGCCUUCGGGUUUGAAAGCUCUGUUAAUCGGGACGCGGUACCGGAAUAGAAAGCCACGGCUAACUACGUGCCAGCAGCCGCGGUAAUAC
rnacentral:rRNA from 1 species